CAUAUUAGUGUGAAUGGUUUGAGUAAAUUGUUGAAGAUUAGACAGGAGUGAAAAAACAAAAGGUAUAUAAGUGAUGCUAAAAACUGAGAUGUCAAAUUUAACAUUCUAUUAUUUCUGUUCUUUUAUUUUCUUUUAGUUUUGGUGUCUGAAUUUGUGGAUAUAUGAGCAGGCCCCAAUAUUUAUUUCUUCAGUUCUCUUCCGCCGUCAGGUCGUAGCCUCUUCCUUCUGCAGGUCACCACCUCCUGCUUCUGCAGGCUGUGCCACAUCCCCCCAUUCCCGCAGCGGAUAGGCCGUUCACCACCGGCACCAUAGUCCGUUCACUACCGACAGCCGAGGCCGUUCAACGACGCAACGACGAGUACUAGUUUGGAAGGCCAGGAAGUUCUACUUCUUGCAUAAGCCAACGGAGUAUCGGUCAAAGAAGGCCGAUGCGCCUCGUGCCAGCUCCGGGCAUCGCCGGAGGUCCUAUCUGUUCUUCCACCGCCCCCGUGCACUCACCGUCGAGCCUAUCCAUGCACAACUCUAGUAUUGAUGAGCUUCAGGCUUGUCAUUGUUCAUGCAGAUUAAUUCUUUGUUAAUUGCUAUUGCACAUACAG